AGCUCGUAGUUGGAUUUGUGGUGUACUUCGGCGGCCCGUCACUAUGUGAUGGAGCUUGCUGAAGUCGCCAUCCUUGGGUGGAUCCUGUGUGGCAUUAAGUUGUCGUGCAGGGGAUGCCCAUCGUUUACUGUGAAAAAAUUAGAGUGUUCAAAGCAGGCUUAUGCCGUUGAAUAUAUUAGCAUGGAAUAAUAAGAUAGGACCUUGGUACUAUUUUGUUGGUUUGCGCACCAAGGUAAUGAUUAAUAGGGACAGUUGGGGGUAUUCGUAUUUCAUUGUCAGAGGUGAAAUUCUUGGAUUUUUGAAAGACGAACUACUGCGAAAGCAUUUA
rnacentral:rRNA from 1 species